rnacentral:rRNA from 1 species
AUUGAACGCUGGCGGCAGGCUUAACACAUGCAAGUCGAGCGGAGAGAGGUAGCUUGCUACCGAUCUUAGCGGCGGACGGGUGAGCAAUGCUUAGGAAUCUGCCUAUUAGUGGGGGACAACAUUUCGAAAGGAAUGCUAAUACCGCAUACGUCCUACGGGAGAAAGCAGGGGAUCUUCGGACCUUGCGCUAAUAGAUGAGCCUAAGUCGGAUGAGCUAGUUGGUGGGGUAAAGGCCUACCAAGGCGACGAUCUGUAGCGGGUCUGAGAGGAUGAUCCGCCGCACUGGGACUGAGACACGGCCCAGACUCCUACGGGAGGCAGCAGUGGGGAAUAUUGGACAAUGGGCGCAAGCCUGAUCCAGCCAUGCCGCGUGUGUGAAGAAGGCCUUAUGGUUGUAAAGCACUUUAAGCGAGGAGGAGGCUACUGAAGUUAAUACCUUCAGAUAGUGGACGUUACUCGCAGAAUAAGCACCGGCUAACUCUGUGCCAGCAGCCGCCGUAAAAC